AAGUCGUAACAAGGUUUCCGUAGGUGAACCUGCGGAAGGAUCAUUAAUGAACCUUUGAGGAUUGAGCUGGUCUUCUUGACAUGUGCUCGUCCUCUUAUCCUUUAUUACACCUGUGCAUCUUUUAGGGAGACAAGUAAGGAUUAGUAGGUCUCUUGACCGAACAUCCUCACCCUCUCUUAUUUACAUACACUUUAUCUGAUCAUUGAAAUUAUUUAAUUAAAAUAAUAACAACUUUUAACAACGGAUCUCUUGGCUCUC
rnacentral:misc_RNA from 1 species